GUGACUUGAUCAUGUGACCCUGACUCCAUCUUGUGCCUGUAAUUUCCCACAAACUAAGACUCAGAGCAUUCCCUCCACAUAGGAGAAGGUAUAAAAAAAAAACCUGGAAGUGUCUCCACUUUGCCUCUUUCCUGCUCUGAUCUCCAGACUAUGGAUUUACACUAAAAGGAGCAUUCCAACAAUAGACCGAGGACCUUCCAAUCUUUUGAAUUUUACCAGAGACUUUACAAGCCAGCAGUCUGUAACAUCAUUGCUUCAAACUUGACACAAGAACUUUGCAAGAAGUGUGCCAAGUGAUGGCCAGAUUGAAGAUUGAUGGAUGGAUGAGAUGAAAGAAGGAAUUAAAAAACCCCCACCAUAAUUUGAGUCACAGAUGGAAAGAAAACAAAACAAAAUGAAAGGAGGAAACAGCAAAGAAAGAAGGAUAAAUAUUGGAAAACAAUAUCAUGAGUGAACAGAAAGUCAAAAAUAGAUUUAGGAUGAAAAAGUAAAUACAUAUUGUAAAUCUCCACAGAGAAGGUGGCAAUAUAUAAAAUAAAUACUUUUGCCCAGAGCAGACUGGAAUAAAAAUGAAAGUAACUGAAACUGUCAUUUUCCAUUUAGUGAAAAUAGAUUAAAGAAAUAAUAUGCAUUUAUAAAAAGCUUUUUGGUUUAAGGGUA